GACAGUUUACUGGUCAACUGUUCCAUAGAAUCUCUCUCAACUGGAAUUUGUCUGAUGUUUUUUUCUUAUGCUUAGACUGGAGUAAUACAUUUCUUGGGAUCAAGACCACAAAGGUUCUGCGCAUUCUGCUGAAUCUCUCGGGGAAGUAUUAUCCAAGUGUACACCAGGGAGUGGGAAUUUGGAGGCCAUCUUAGAAUUCCGCCUGGCACGACAGCAAAAGUAUUCCUGCUCUCCUGCCCGAAUCCAUUUCCCAUCAUUAUCUUGUUGCUUCCAACUUCCUGUGUCUAAGGAGAAGACAGGAAUACAGAAUGCAGCGUAAGAGAAGUAAUUACUGAGAUGAACCAAUGCUGCUACAGGAGCACCAUUUUCUGGCUACGGCAGAAGUACAUGCAGUGUGAUGGAUAUCCUUGAAGAUUAAUCAGAGAACCUUUCAUUCACCCAUAAAGGAGAAUCUGUCAUCACACAUACAGAAGAUAUGCAGACCUGGAGGACAGCACCACACCAGCACAACCACAACAUCCUUAAGUUACACUUGGACUUCAGUUGAACGUAUUCAUUUGACUACAGAGAAACACUGCUAUCAAGUGAUGUGGUUGCUAAAAGAGAACACUGAACAGGUGUUCUCAGUUCUGAUUGUCAUGCUUCCCAGCAGUACGCCCCAUAUUGUCUCAGAUCUGGAGCCGGUGUUGACUGGACACCUUUGGUUCAUGUUUUGCCUUUUUCCUAAGGCUUUACCACUUACUUCCAGGGACGCAAUUGGUGAAGUCAUGUGAAUGUUACUGUGUCAAGAGAGCCCUCAUGGUGCCUCCCAUUGAGUAGAAAGGAAUACCUGGGCUAUUUAUGACUUUGUUGCUUAAAUCUUCUAAUAAAAACUUCUAUUUUGCUAAGCAGAUUUUCGUAUAGCCCUUCAUUCCCAUGAAAUGUAAAAUCAGUUAAUAUAUAAGUCAUGGCAACUGAAUGGGCAAGAAAGAUGCCAGACUUCCAUGACUACCAUGCUUAAUAUGUGAG
rnacentral:lncRNA from 1 species